rnacentral:rRNA from 1 species
UACGUAGGACCCGAGCGUUGUCCGGAUUUACUGGGUAUAAAGGGUGCGUAGGCAGUUUAUCAAGUCAGGGGUUAAAAGCCGCAGCUCAACUGCGGAGCUGCCCUUGAAACUGAUAGACUUGAAUAUGAGAGGGGCUGAUAGAAUUCCUGGUGUAGCGGUAAAAUGCGUAGAUAUCAGGAGGAAUACCGGUGGCGAAGGCGGUCAUCUGGCUCAUUAUUGACGCUGAAGCACGAAAGCGUAGGUAGCGAAC